rnacentral:rRNA from 1 species
GCAGUAGCCGCGGUAAUACGGAGGAUCCAAGCGUUAUCCGGAAUCAUUGGGUUUAAAGGGUCCGUAGGCGGUCUUGUAAGUCAGUGGUGAAAGCCCAUCGCUCAACGGUGGAACGGCCAUUGAUACUGCAGGACUUGAAUUAUUGGGAAGUAACUAGAAUAUGUAGUGUAGCGGUGAAAUGCUUAGAGAUUACAUGGAAUACCAAUUGCGAAGGCAGGUUACUACCAAUUGAUUGACGCUGAUGGACGAAAGCGUGGGUAGCGAACAGGAUUAGAUACCCGAGUAGUACCUGUCUCUUAUAA